rnacentral:tRNA from 1 species
GGGCACGUGGCGGAAUUGGUAUACGCGUGCGUUUGAGGGGCGCAUGCCGCAAGGCUUGGAGGUUCGAGUCCUCUCGUGCCCA